GUCUCUGGGACCUAGCAUGAAUCAGGGUUCUACAAUUGCUGGCGCAGGGCCUGGAAGUGUAGGCUGGCAAGCACCAGAGGUCAUGGCGCAGCGAUUAUCUCCGGAAGCAGCCAGCUUGGAUGGAAGUAG
rnacentral:ribozyme from 1 species